rnacentral:rRNA from 1 species
GUAGUCCACGCCCUAAACGAUGUGUGCUCGCUAUUGGAUAGUUUACUAUUCGGUGGCUAAGCUAACGCGAUAAGCACACCGCCUGGGGAUUACGAUCGCAAGAUUAAAACUCAAAGGAAUUGACGGGGACCCGCACAAGCGGUGGAGCAUGUUGUUUAAUUCGAUGAUACGCGAGGAACCUUACCAGCCCUUGACAUAUACAUUAUGAUUUCUGGAAACAGAUUUCUUCGGUUCGGCCGGGUGUAUACAGGUGUUGCAUGGCCGUCGUCAGCUCGUGUCGUGAGAUGUUGGGUUAAGUCCCGCAACGAGCGCAACCCCUAUUGUUAGUUGCUACCAUUUAGUUGAGCACU